GACAGAGGGUGCAAACGUUGUUCGGAAUUACUGGGCGUAAAGCGCGUGUAGGCGGCCAUGCAAGUCGGAUGUGAAAGCCCUCGGCUCAACCGGGGAAGUGCACUCGAAACUGCAAGGCUAGAGUCUCGGAGAGGAUCGUGGAAUUCUCGGUGUAGAGGUGAAAUUCGUAGAUAUCGAGAGGAACACCGGUGGCGAAGGCGGCGAUCUGGACGAUGACUGACGCUGAGACGCGAAAGCCAGGGGAGCGAACAGG
rnacentral:rRNA from 1 species